CUGAGUGUUUUUAUUUAUUUAAAAAAAAAAAAAACCUUUCCCAAAAGACCGCGAAGACCCGUCAGCGUAGUUGGACAGGCAUUAUGGGCUAGCUAGCUAGCUAGCUAUGCUAGGUUUAACUGCUAAGAUGGCCUACACUCGAAUGGAGUUUGAGUAGGACUACUCGUGUUUGUAGUUACUCUAACUAGUGUUUUAACCGCAGAACGUGUUCUGGGGGAAAAAAAAUGUGUACGCUUACGUACGGAAGCUACGAACGUGAAUUAUUAACUAAUAAUUGUUUUUGCCAGACGCCCCCUCUGCAUAGCGCUCCCACCCCCACCACUCGUGGAGUCUGCUAAAUGUAUGUAGAAUUAUUCACUCAUCAAAAAUCGCCUUAUGAAUGCAAUGCAGGUCAUUUAUAGUACAGUAUAUUGUUAACACACCAAAGGGUAACUAAACUGCCCAUUGAGAGACGAGUAGCACCUGGCACGUGACCGCCUUCUCUCCUCACGCCCCUUUUUCUUUCUGCAAGCGAAUCGAGUUGGGCGAAACAUUUAAGAGUUUGUGACCAAGUGUUGUGCGUUCAAUAAACCCGCGGUAGCUAAGGAUGCAGAAAGGAACAUCACCACCACAGUCAUAAAGAUUUACACAAUCUGAAAAGAUGGACAUGAGGAGCCAGAGGAUGUGGGAAUUGUGAUCGAGGGCAUUAAAGUCCGCAACAACGCUGGCAGUGUCAUCCUGGUGUUGAUCAUGCUGUUUGGGCUCAUCUGGGCACUUCAUCUAGUCUUUCCAGAAAAGUACACUUCUGAGUUUUUACAGACGAUCAUUAUGAACUUAGAUGGACCCAAGCUAAAAGCAAAGGUACAGCAGCUGAAAAUCAAACUUUUUUUCACAAGGGACAGUCAGGGUGUGUGCUCACAGUCCAAGACUGUCAUUGAAGAUGCUUUUCUAGUACUUAAAAUGUAUUGAUUCAAGAUACACUAACCUGCGUUGCUAUAUGAGUGACUGGACUCAAAGCUGUUUUAUACAACUACAAAGAAGCUUAAAAAUGUAAGCAUGUAAAGUUCAAAAUGCAUUUCCAAAGAAUGUAGUUUUAUUUUAAUUUUGUGAGUUUUCAAUAAAAACACAUUUACCAGA